GAUAAACGCUGGCGGCGUGCCUAAUACAUGCAAGUCGAGCGAACGGACGAGAAGCUUGCUUCUCUGAUGUUAGCGGCGGACGGGUGAGUAACACGUGGAUAACCUACCUAUAAGACUGGGAUAACUUCGGGAAACCGGAGCUAAUACCGGAUAAUAUUUUGAACCGCAUGGUUCAAAAGUGAAAGACGGUCUUGCUGUCACUUAUAGAUGGAUCCGCGCUGCAUUAGCUAGUUGGUAAGGUAACGGCUUACCAAGGCAACGAUGCAUAGCCGACCUGAGAGGGUGAUCGGCCACACUGGAACUGAGACACGGUCCAGACUCCUACGGGAGGCAGCAGUAGGGAAUCUUCCGCAAUGGGCGAAAGCCUGACGGAGCAACGCCGCGUGAGUGAUGAAGGUCUUCGGAUCGUAAAACUCUGUUAUUAGGGAAGAACAUAUGUGUAAGUAACUGUGCACAUCUUGACGGUACCUAAUCAGAAAGCCACGGCUAACUACGUGCCAGCAGCCGCGGUAAUACGUNAGUGGNNCAGCGUAUCGGGAUUUAUGGGCGUAAGCGCGCGUAGCGGUUUUUUAGUCUGAUGUGAAAGCCCACGGCUCAACCGUGGAGGGUCAUUGGAAACUGGAAAACUUGAGUGCAGAAGAGGAAAGUGGAAUUCCAUGUGUAGCGGUGAAAUGCGCAGAGAUAUGGAGGAACACCAGUGGCGAAGGCGACUUUCUGGUCUGUAACUGACGCUGAUGUGCGAAAGCGUGGGGAUCAAACAGGAUUAGAUACCCUGGUAGUCCACGCCGUAAACGAUGAGUGCUAAGUGUUAGGGGGUUUCCGCCCCUUAGUGCUGCAGCUAACGCAUUAAGCACUCCGCCUGGGGAGUACGACCGCAAGGUUGAAACUCAAAGGAAUUGACGGGGACCCGCACAAGCGGUGGAGCAUGUGGUUUAAUUCGAAGCAACGCGAAGAACCUUACCAAAUCUUGACAUCCUUUGACAACUCUAGAGAUAGAGCCUUCCCCUUCGGGGGACAAAGUGACAGGUGGUGCAUGGUUGUCGUCAGCUCGUGUCGUGAGAUGUUGGGUUAAGUCCCGCAACGAGCGCAACCCUUAAGCUUAGUUGCCAUCAUUAAGUUGGGCACUCUAAGUUGACUGCCGGUGACAAACCGGAGGAAGGUGGGGAUGACGUCAAAUCAUCAUGCCCCUUAUGAUUUGGGCUACACACGUGCUACAAUGGACAAUACAAAGGGCAGCGAAACCGCGAGGUCAAGCAAAUCCCAUAAAGUUGUUCUCAGUUCGGAUUGUAGUCUGCAACUCGACUACAUGAAGCUGGAAUCGCUAGUAAUCGUAGAUCAGCAUGCUACGGUGAAUACGUUCCCGGGUCU
rnacentral:rRNA from 1 species